rnacentral:tRNA from 1 species
UUAAAGACUGAGAGUUUAAACCUCUCCUUAGUGA